rnacentral:tRNA from 2 species
CGCGGGAUGGAGCAGUUCGGUAGCUCGUCGGGCUCAUAACCCGAAGGUCGGAGGUUCAAAUCCUCCUCCCGCAA